AUGCCGCCCGACCCCGCCCCGUUCCGUGGUCGCCUCCGACCCGCCCUCUUCACUGUUGAUAUCUUGAACAGAUCCUGUCUUGAGUACAUUAAGAUUACGGGAACCACUCUUUCAGAGUCAGCUGGAUCUAAUCCAGUCUCAGUUAGUCUCCAGAACUACCAGCUCUACCGCCACCUCGAGGAUCCAGGGUGGCGGCUGAGCUGGUUUUGGGCUGGCGAUGAGGUGAUCUUGGACGCGACGGGCGCGGAGGCGACCGAGCAGGGAAACUGCACUCGCUUCGUCGGCGCUCACAGCUGCGAGAAGCGGCCUGUAAUGAUGGACCUGGGCCCCGGCACGCCGUACAACCUUCAGGUCGCCAACUGCUGCCGGGGCGGUGUCCUGUCUUCGCUCGUGCAGAACAGCAAGGCGGCCACAUCGACGUUCAGGAUGAUCGUCGGCAACUUUGCUCCUUCCAGCGACGGCGGCCCCCAGAUGCCAUUCAAUUUCAGCAUUGGGGUGCCAGGUUACACUUGCAGCAAUGCCACAGUGGUGCCCCCAUCCAGGACCCAGUUCGACAAGCAGCGGCACAUCCAGGCCUUAAUGACUUGGCAGGUCUUGUGCUUCUACUCACAGACAGUGGCGGCCCCACGGAAGUCUUGCUGCGUGUCGCUCUUCAUGUUCUACAGUAGCGUGGUCGUGGAGUGUCCGCGUUGCAUCUGCGGCGCCUGCCCAGUGACUUCCAUGGCGCCGCAGUGCAAGGGACCCAAGGCCGAGCCUGCUGCCCGAUGCACUGGGCACAUGUGCCCAAUCCAGGUGCACUGGCACAUCAAGAAGAGCUACCGGGAGUACUGGCGUGUGAAGAUGACUGUUAACAACUUCAACACGCUGAAGAACUUUAGUGACUGGAACUUCCUAGUGCAGCACCCCGGUAUGCAGAACCUGACAGAAGUUUUUAGCUUCAACCACCACCCGCUAGUCCAGUAUGGCACAAUAAACGACACAGAGCUGUUCUGGGGGCUCCCGAACUUCAACACGAUGUUGCUGCAGGACGGCUACGUGCAGUCGGAGAUCCUACUGAGGAAGGGCCAGGACUUCACCUUCGAUGCAGGUUGGGCGUUCCCGAGGAAGAUGUACUUUGACGGCGGUGAGUGCGCGAUGCCACCACCUGACGACUACCCACCGCUGCCCAGCGCCAGCUGCGAUCAGCGCCUCUCGGCAGUGCUGAGGUCACUGCUGGCGGGCCUCGUCUUGUUGUUUCUCCUGUUCUAG
rnacentral:rRNA from 1 species